rnacentral:rRNA from 1 species
CCCAUAUGGUCGACCUGCAGGCGGCCGCGAAUUCACUAGUGAUUCGUAUUACCGCGGCUGCUGGCACGGAGUUAGCCGGUGCUUCUUCUGCGGGUAACGUCAAUCAACAGCGCUAUUCACGCUGUUGCCUUCCUCCCCGCUGAAAGUACUUUACAACCCGAAGGCCUUCUUCAUACACGCGGCAUGGCUGCAUCAGGCUUGCGCCCAUUGUGCAAUAUUCCCCACUGCUGCCUCCCGUAGGAGUCUGGGCCGUGUCUCAGUCCCAGUGUGGCUGGUCAUCCUCUCAGACCAGCUAGGGAUCGUCGCCUAGGUGAGCCAUUACCCCACCUACUAGCUAAUCCCAUCUGGGUUCAUCCGAUGGCGUGAGGCCCGAAGGUCCCCCACUUUACUCCAAAGAGGUUAUGCGGUAUUAGCCACCGUUUCCAGUGGUUAUCCCCCUCCAUCGGGCAGAUCCCCAGACAUUACUCACCCGUCCGCCGCUCGCCGGCGGGGAAGCAAGCUUCCCCCCGCUGCCGCUCGACUUGCAUGUGUUAGGCCUGCCGCCAGCGUUCAAUCUGAGCCAGGAUCAAACUCUAAUCGAAUUCCCGCGGCCGCC